AGAUUGAGAAAUAAAUGUAGAGAAAUUAACUCAUUUGUCUUCUGUCAGUUAACCAAGUAAACCCUUCAAUGGAGUGAGAGAAGAUUAAUUUAAGGUCAAGCAGAUAUUUAUCAGUGCGAGGCACUGCUCCUGGCAUUCCCAAGAAGUCAAAAGCAGCCGGGGUGUGAAGGAGAUAAGAAAGUAAAAGCCCAACUGCAAUAGAAAAAGCAGAAGAUGUAAGAAUAAUUCCAUGGUACGUACUGGUGAGCUGACGAUGCUGCAAGCAGAUGAAUUAAGUCAUAUACAUAUGGACCUGAGAGGAUAUGGGGAAUGAAGUUCUCAGGGGCAAGUUCAUGUGUGCGACUCCACAGCCUCCCCACAAGCAAUUUCACUUCCUCUGCAUCAGCUCCAGCGAGCCCUGUGUACUGCGUGUGGAGGACUCCCAAGCAGGUGGAUGGAAUGCUUUCCCUGGAGAAAAAGGUACAGGU